GACGAACGCUGGCGGCGUGCUUAACACAUGCAAGUCGAACGGAAAGGCCCUGCUUUUGUGGGGUGCUCGAGUGGCGAACGGGUGAGUAACACGUGAGUAACCUGCCCUUGACUUUGGGAUAACUUCAGGAAACUGGGGCUAAUACCGUAUAGGAGCUCCUGCUGCAUGGUGGGGGUUGGAAAGUUUCGGCGGUUGGGGAUGGACUCGCGGCUUAUCAGCUUGUUGGUGGGGUAGUGGCUUACCAAGGCUUUGACGGGUAGCCGGCCUGAGAGGGUGACCGGCCACAUUGGGACUGAGAUACGGACCAGACUCCUACGGGAGGCAGCAGUGGGGAAUAUUGCACAAUGGGCGGAAGCCUGAUGCAGCAACGCCGCGUGCGGGAUGACGGCCUUCGGGUUGUAAACCGCUUUCGCCUGUGACGAGGCGUGAGUGACGGUAAUGGGUAAAGAAGCACCGGCUAACUACGUG
rnacentral:rRNA from 1 species